ACUAAGCAAUACUAUACCUCUAUAGAAAAUUUUAUGUUAAAACUAGUAACAAGAAGACAGACCUUCUCUUAAAUGUAAACGUAAAUCAUAAGGACAAACCACUGAUAUUUAACGCUCAAGAACCAGAAGUAAUAACCAACCAAGAAAACUCUACUUUAAUUAACGUUAACCUAACACAAGAGCAUUUCAAGAAAGAUUAAAAGAAAAAGAAGGAACUCGGCAAACUUUAACCUCGCCUGUUUACCAAAAACAUCACCUCUUGAUAAUAAUGAGAGGCCCAGCCUGCCCAGUGACCCAGUUCAACGGCCGCGGUAUCCUAACCGUGCGAAGGUAGCGUAAUCACUUGUUCUUUAAAUAAGGACUAGUAUGAACGGCAUCACGAGGGUUAUGCUGUCUCCUUUUUCCGAUCAGUGAAACUAAUUUCCCCGUGAAGAAGCGGGGAUAAAAUUAUAAGACGAGAAGACCCUAUGGAGCUUCAAACAACACAACAAAUGCCAAAACAACUUAAAAAUUUCAUAACUCCAAAUUUACUCAGCAUUAUGAUUGUUAGUUUUAGGUUGGGGUGACCGCGGAGCAAAACACAACCUCCACAUUGAAAGAAUUUUAUUCUAAGCCAAGAACCACAACUCAAAGCAUCUAUAUAUUGACAUUAAUUGACCCAAUAAACUUGAACAACGAACCAAGUUACCCUAGGGAUAACAGCGCAAUCUACUUCAAGAGCCCCUAUCGACAAGUAGGUUUACGACCUCGAUGUUGGAUCAGGGUCUCCAA
rnacentral:rRNA from 1 species